GGCGCGUUACUCAAGCGGCAACGAGGGCUGCCUGUAAAGCAGUUGUCUUAGACUUCGCUGGUUCGAGUCCAGCACGCGCCA
rnacentral:tRNA from 1 species